ACCUGCAGUCCCCUCGGUCCCUAGGGACUUACUCUGAUCUUUCCUGAGUCUCUGAUGAGUAGAUCCCACAGCCUAGCUUCUCCUUCUCUCACAAUACACACUCCCACGUUGCCCUCACACCGCCUGGCUAGGCCUGACCAGGGUCCCUUUUUCUAUGACACAUCUGGUUACCCUCAGUGGCCACAGGUCUCAAAGCUGAGGCCAUUCCAAUUAUCCCUGAGACUCAUUUUCCCCUCCCAACUAUGAAGUAACCCCUUCUCCACUCUGAAGCCACAGAGAGCCUAGGGGUCUGGAAAUGAACCUUUACAGGCAUGUAAGGGCAUCUGUAGCCCCUCCCAAGAGUGUCUUGAUCUACAUCUGCCCUCCCAUGACCCUCUGAGACCCACUCACUCUUCCAAGAAGCCUCUAGGUCUAUUAUUGUCUUUCCAUAAGCCUCUUGGGAGUCCUUCAUCUUCCCUGAACCUAGGGGCCUUAAACCUCCCUUCUCAAAAUACUUAGAAGAGUCCCCCCUCUCUCUCCAAAGAACCUUAAAACUUCAUCCCCUUAUAUUCUGAGCCCUUCUUGUCCCUUCUAGAAUCAUCUAUGUCCAUGGCUGUCUUCCCACAAAACCAGAUGGCUUCCUUUGUCUCUUGAAGGAGCCUCUAGUUCUGCAACCGCCUUCCCAUGAUUCCCUGAGUCCCCUACAUCCCUCCCAAGUGAUCCUUUGAGGGCCCAUUCAUCCCUCCCAAGAGUUCUUGGCCAAACAAUGGCCUUCCCAUGAUGCUUUGGACCCACGUGCCCUUCUAAUAGCCUCUGGGCCUUAUAUCUAUCUUCCCAUGAGUCUCUGGGACUGAUGUUCAAACUUAGGAGCCAUUAUUCCCACGUACCUGGCACACCUUUUCAGAGAUGAGAUCUCCACAGCCCCCAAACCCAGGUCACCUGAGGGCCAGAAGGACCCAGCUUGGCCUGGAGAGAAGGUGCAGAGAUGAGCUGUGCCGAAGACAUGGUGGCCAUCGUCUGGAAGGCCUUGUCCUUGGAGACUUGGUCCUGGGGAAAGGUUGAGGUCCAGCUCCAGACGACUGCUCUGAGGCAGCGAGAGGCAGCGAGAGAAUGGGGGCUGCCCUUGGAGCAGAUCGAACCUCGGCUUCAGAGGGAGAGGUUUGCAUGUCCACAGUUUGCAUGUCCACACUUGAUGUAACGGGCGAUGAGUUCGUUCCGGCCUGGAGGAGUCAAAAUGGAAAAGAGUAAGACUCUCAGCAGAACUUCCUGCCAGAGAAGACACGUCAGCAAGCCAAUGAUCCCGGUCAAACUACAGCCAAGCCACGCUGGGGGACUCCUCGGCCACAGGGUCACCAGCUUAGCCACAUACUAACUAUGUGGCCACUGACAAACCACUUAGUCUUCCUGUGCCUCAGUUUCCCUCAUCUGGGUAGGGAAAAAUGCUAGAGCCUAAGUCAUAGGAAGAAUACAAUCUUUUUUCUUUGUUUUCUAUUUUA